GUGCCAGCAGCUGCGGUAAUACGUAGGGCGCAAGCGUUGUCCGGAAUUAUUGGGCGUAAAGAGCUCGUAGGCGGCUUGUCGCGUCGGGUGUGAAAGCCCACAGCUUAACUGUGGGUCUGCAUCCGAUACGGGCAGGCUAGGGGCAGCUAGGGGAGCAUGGAAUUCCCGGUGUAGCGGUGAAAUGCGCAGAUAUCGGGAGGAACACCGGUGGCGAAGGCGGUGCUCUGGGGCUGUUCUGACGCUGAGGAGCGAAAGCGUGGGGAGCGAACAGGAUUAGAUAACCCUGGUAGUCCACGCCGUAAACGUUGGGCGCUAGGUGUGGGUCCUUCCACGGAUUCCGCGCCGUAGCUAACGCAUUAAGCGCCCGCCGUGGGAGUACGGCCGCAAGGC
rnacentral:rRNA from 1 species